rnacentral:lncRNA from 1 species
AAAGUAAUAGGACCAACUAUUUUUUUUUUUUUUUUUUUUGUUAUGGUGUAAGUUCUAGUUCUGUUUAGCUGAGAAAUGGAAAGUUAGAUUUGCUGUAGUUAGCCGUUGAGUUUAUUCGUUUAGCAUUACACUGUUCCUUCAAACAUUGGGACGGUAGACUUCUCAUCAGAGUAGCACCACCUCAUUUCUGGAUUCAGAAGCUUUUGAUGUGACUUUUGUUGUUUUGGUUUGUUUGUUUUGAGACAUGGUCUCACUGUGUAGCCCUGACUGGCCUGGAACUUGCUAUGUGGACCCAGUUGGCCUUUAAUCUUGAACUUAAAAAGAGACAUCUGCCUCUGCCUCCCAAGUGCUGAGGUUAAAGGUGAGUGCCACUAUGCCUUUUAUUAUUUUUUUAAAUUUUGAUGUAUUUCUUGUGUGUGUAUACCAGAGCACACAUGGAGGUCAGUAGACAUUGUGAUUCUUUCCUUUCCCUGCAUGGGUUCUGGAGAUCAAAUUCAGGUUCUCAGGCUUCCCAUCAAGCACUUGUACCCAGAGUUGUCUUGCCCUCCAAAGUUUUUUUAAAUAUGGUAUUUCCAAAGAAAGUAUUCAAACAAAUAUUUUGUUUCAUUAAACUCAUCAGAUUGUAUGAGAUUUUGUCUAGGUUUAUUAACCAUUUACAAAAUUAACUUUGUUAAAGGUUUUGCUAGAGAAUUUACUAAUUCAGCAUACUAACUCAUGUAUUUAUGUCUUUUUGUUUGUUGUUAAGGGUCUUGAUAUGUAGUCUAGGCCAGCCUCCAACUCAUGAUCCUCCUGCCUCAGCCUCCCUAGUGCUGGGAGUACAGAAGUACACUACCACUCCUGGCUGUGGUCAGUGUUUAUAAAAAGUGAGAUCAGAAGAAAAUAGGAUGUCAUGAACUGUGAUCCAGAGGAAAAAAUAAUUCUUCUAGGGAAUUAUUAAGAAUAAUUCUAAGGAAUAGGAAGAGGUGAGGGAGGCUUAAAAUAAAACAAUGAUUAACUCGUUAAUUUUUAUAGCUUGCAUAAACCAAAGUAUAAAAAUGUAAGGCACAGUGAAAAAACUAAACCACUCACCAGCCAGUGCCAAACAAGCAGCAAAAAGGUCAAUGCAGGAAGCUCAGGCCGUGCAGGGUGCCACCCUCUUGCAGUGAUCACAGGCCUGAGCAUAGCUCUGAGAUGCUGACCUUCAGGGGAGAAGGCCUCAGUCAACUGUAGACCACCUUCACCUCAUAACCGAGUGUCUGUGUGGCAGCUCUGUCUCAGAAGUUAAAAACCAGUCAAGAGCAGGAAGUCAGGCCAACAUAUUUUAGCAGCUAUCAACUGAGGCAGAGUGUUAGUAAACUGUAACUGAGAGUGACAUUAAUCACACAGUGGAAAGAUAAAUCCUAAGGACUAAGUCCCAUGUUUAUACACACAAAGGUGCUUAUCAGCUCCUAACUCAGGACGACUCCAUACUUGCUGAGCCUUACAAAUGUCAGCCCAACUGAAAC